GUCUUCAACAUGUAUGAAUGAAAUGAUGUAAUCAGAGAUAUUUGAUGGCUUUAGUGACUAUGCUACUGGAUGAAAUGAGAUCACAGACAGAGACCCCAUCAAACACUAAACUAAAUGGCUGGAAUGACGUUCCUGACCCUGGUGAUGGUUUUAGCAAAGCUAUAAGAGACAUUCUAGUGCCACCUAUAUUGAGCCAACAUAACUCCAAAAAUGAUUUUGUUGUAUUCAUAACUUUCUAUUAAAUCAUUUUUAUAUUUAAUA